rnacentral:misc_RNA from 1 species
ACAGCCAAUGAGCCAAAGAUAAAGAAACACCUAUCCUAUAAUAAUUUAGAGCAAUAUACCUCCAUAAUGGAACAUCUAUAUAUAUAAAGGUAUCCGUAUAUCUCUAUAUAUUAUAUUCAUUGAGUUUAAAGUGGCUAGGGUUUAUAGAUGUAUGUGAUAUUAAGAGAUAUGAAACAUAUUUGUCGACGG